GACGAACGCUGGCGGCGUGCUUAACACAUGCAAGUCGAACGGAAAGGCCCUGCUUUUUUGGUGUGCUCGAGUGGCGAACGGGUGAGUAACACGUGAGUAACCUGCCCUUCACUUUGGGAUAACUUCAGGAAACUGGGGCUAAUACCGGAUAGGAGCUCCUGCUGCAUGGUGGGGGUUGGAAAGUUUCGGCGGGUGGGGAUGGACUCGCGGCUUAUCAGCUUGUUGGUGGGGUAGUGGCUUACCCAGGCUUUGACGGGUAGCCGGCCUGAGAGGGUGACCGGCCACAUUGGGACUGAGAUACGGCGCAGAGUCGUACGGGAGGCAGCAGUGGGGAAUAUUGCACAAUGGGCGCAAGCCUGAUGCAGCCACGCCGCGUGCGGGAUGACGGCCUUCGGGUUGUAAACCGCUUUAGCCUGUGACGAAGCGUGAGUGACGGUAAUGAGUAAAGAAGCACCGGCUAACUACGUG
rnacentral:rRNA from 1 species